rnacentral:lncRNA from 1 species
UUUCUUGCAUCACUGCCAUCUCCCUCCAGGAGGACAAGCCGUUGAAAGGACUCCAGCAAAAGUUGUCACAAGUGUUGUGCUGUUUCUCUGCUCUCUUGUUACUAGUGCUACCCAGUGGACUUCGGCCACUUGGGCUAGCAUUGGCAUGGCCAGGUGAGUGGGAGUCCUGCAAGGCCGUUGCAAUAGAGGAAGCAUUUAAGCCUGGCAGCAACACUUGGGGUUUCAAAGAAAUCUGGCUGUGUGCAGAGGCAGCCGCCAUCUUCCUCCUGCCUGCUCCAGCCUGUCACAGGCAAACACGCACUGAUCUCUCCUGGAGACCUUGCACUUUCUUUCCUUCUUUCUAUUUUAUUUUAUUUUUUUUUUAAUUUUUAAUUUCCUCCUCUCUUCUUUCUUGCUGCUGUUUUCCCUUAAUCUAAAAGAAGUCAUUUUGAAUGAAAGUAGAUGAUCCGGUCCUUGUGUAUGGAAAAACUUCAAUUACUGGCACAGAGCAACAGUCUUUGUGGCUUGGUUUACAGAUCUGCCCCUCCAACACUGGUCAGGAUCAGGAGAGAGAUUCAGAAAAAAUAGUUAAAAGACAAUUACUGGACAGGACCCAAUCUUCAGGACAGAGUACUGAUGCUGCAGCACCACAAACUAUUUUGGAAAUGGGCUUUUACAGCUGGGCAGCUCUGGAAAACAAGAGUUUAUCCAGAAAGGAAUCAGAUUGGUUUUCUGUAUGUGAAGAUCACAAAUGUAUCUCUGUAUCGUCACUGGGACAUCAGCUGAUGAGAAGGACACAGCAAACAAGGGAUGGGAAGAACCAGCAAAACACAGAACGAGAGGGUUGCAGAGUCUUCUCUGCACCUAUCUGCCCCCAAAUAAAGCUGCUUUGGGAUGGCAGAGGUCCUGGCUGCAGUACCAAGGGGAAGGAGUUUCUGCACAGAGGAUCAGGUUGCAGCACUGGAGCAGCUGAUGCACAGAGAAGAUGGCUGAGAUCAGCCUGUGUUUCCAUAACAUACAGUUAAGCCAUGAAGGACUGCGAAUACAGUCUCUACCACACAGACCAACUGUAGACGUUUCAACUGCUGUUGAGUUUUUAUUGCAGUGUGCUUUUACUGCAUUCCCAAGCCAUGGUAAGACUAUGUAUGAUGGGGAAUUGAAGUAUACCUUGGGUUCCUGAACUCUAAGUGUUGUCCUGUGGCUAUGGUGUGGAGAGAUGACCUUGCCAUAUGUUAACUUUAUUCAGGAAUAACACCCUAAAACCUACUUGUGCUAUGUGACCAGGUGACAUGAGGUUUGUAAGGAUGAAUUGUAUCUUUAUUAGAAAGGUGAUAGUCUUUUGUAUUAGAAAAGUGAUAGUCCUGGAAAGAAAUGGACAACCUUCCAAGCAUAUAACUCUUUCCCAGGCAGAAGCAAAAGCAAUCAAUAAACAUAUCCCUUAAACCA